AUUUUUAUAGUUUAUAUAGUUAAAACACUUUAUUUUCAAUAAAGAAAAGGAAUAUAGUAUCCUGAAAAUU
rnacentral:tRNA from 1 species